GGCUUCCUGUGAUUUCCAGGCUAUGUUCUUACACUGACUGUACAGAAAGUGGAGGGAGAAGAAACCUCCUCCAUCUACACCUCGACCCAGACCUGGCAACUUGUCUGUAUCAUGCGUGCAGAGAUAAGG
ensembl:snoRNA